rnacentral:tRNA from 1 species
GCCGAGGUGGCGGAACUGGCAGACGCGCAUGGUUUAGGACCAUGUGUCGAAAGACAUGGAGGUUCGAGUCCUCUCCUCGGUA